rnacentral:rRNA from 1 species
GACGGGGGGGCAAGUGUUCUUCGGAAUGACUGGGCUAAAGGGCACGUAGGCGGUGAAUCGGGUUGAAAGUGAAAGUCGCCAAAAAGUGGCGGAAUGCUCUCGAAACCAAUUCACUUGAGUGAGACAGAGGAGAGUGGAAUUUCGUGUGUAGGGGUGAAAUCCGUAGAUCUACGAAGGAACGCCAAAAGCGAAGGCAGCUCUCUGGGUCCCUACCGACGCUGGGGUGCGAAAGCAUGGGGAGCGAACAGG